rnacentral:tmRNA from 1 species
GGGGCUGACUGGUUUUGACAGCAAGGAUGAUGGAUUUGUAAGCAUGUCGGGGGAUGCAGAUGGCCCCGUUCAAACGUUCUGUAAAACUAUAAUUGGCGAAAAUAAUUUUGCUCUCGCUGCGUAAUCGAAGUACAGUAGAUACGCUUCAUCGCCGGUCGAGGACUGGCGACGGGACACUCUGCGAAUGGACAGGCCUGAUUCCGGUUCGAUGUCGGGGUGCUCGCAACUUCAGGCUGCCUGUUACACCUCCUUGAUGUAACAGUAAGAAAAAAGGAUACGGUUGGGCUUGGGUGGAUGUUUCCGGGCUCUUCCCGACAAUUAACAACAUCCUAAGCAUGUAGAAAGCACUUUUGUCACUUGUUUGGACGCGGGUUCGACUCCCGCCAGCUCCACCA